CAUGCCUGGCCUUCCUUUUCAUAAACUAGGUGAGGCAGGCGGAUGGUUAACGAUUUACUUUCGGUUAUAAAAGUUGUUCUGCUGUAAAAGCAACCAGAGGUUCACCUUCACUGUGCCUAUUUACAGCUUGUGGAUGAUCAGUGGAGAAAAGUUAAUACGAGUCCUAAAAAAGAUCAAUCAGCAGCAGCUUCCUAGUCUUUGCUUUUAGAGUCAAGGGAUCCUGACACGUAGCAGCUGUUCAGAAUGCAGGCUUGUGCCAGUUUAGAAGCUCUACUCUGAAGCCACAACAUCCAACAUUUGCUUAAAAGUACUAGAUACACUAGUGUUAAACUGACCUGAUCUGACCUGACCCAAAUAGAUGAGGUACUACUGGACAAAGGGCAUAGAGAUGGUACGAUGGAACGGGAGGACAGAAGAACUGAGGUAUUGUCUUCAGUAACCAAGGUGCUGCUCCAGUUGGUUGUGGUGAAGAAAGAACUGUCCCACUGGGUGGGACCCCAAGAAAGACCCAGAACUCGCUGAAUGAGCUGGAGGAUGUUGCUGGGGAGAGGGAUGUCUGGGGUUUCCUUCUGGACCUUUUGCCCCACGACCCGAUCUCCGAUAAGUGGAAGGCAUUAGAUGGAUGGACUUUGUGGGCUGCACAGUAGAGCAGUUCUUAGCACCGUUGAUUUGCAUGGAAACAUUUAAAGAAAAUAUGUCUGGAAAUAUGUGAAAGAAUGAAUUCUAAAUUUUAAUCCAACGUUUUGCAUAAUUAAUACAUUUAUUGAGACAUUUGCAUGUUUUUAAAGUCUAUCUGGAUUUUGACAGUGUAGAUCUUCCAUGUACAACUGCCACCCUUGCAGUGCCCUGCCCUACCUCCAGAGCUCAUGAAAUCAGAUCAGGAUACGUACUUUAAGUAAAACAGUUUGAACAACUGAU